UUAGUGAACAAUAGUCAAACGCAGACCAAAAAAAUCGCAGGUGCAGUAAAAGCCAAAUUUACCACAAGCAGCGGGUGGUCUGGGCAUCUCGACCGGCUUCCUCGCUUUCUCUCAAAACCCAGAACUCCAAAGCACAUCGCCGACUCUGCUGCGUUUCCAUUUUUAGCGGGCCUCUUCACAAAUCACAAUUGGUUCCCACCCAAAUUGAAUUUGAGGGUUUUGGAUUCGAUCUGAAUCCGAUCGUAAGUCUGAUUUGAUCGAAAGCAAAAGGCUUUGCGAGAAUCAAUGCCUCAAGAUUUGCCGUCGGAUCAGGAAGCAGACGAUGCCGGAGCUGAGUUCACUAAGGUUGAUCUCAUUGGUCGUUACGGACGGUAUAUAGAGGUUCAUCAAGAAAGUGUAUCCUUUUUGCUCUGUUCUUUGUCAAAGUCUCAUUGAUGGGUUGAUGAAUUGAAUUGCUGUAGCCUGAAUUGAUGAUUGUUUAGCAUUUAUUCUUGCUGCGAAGGUUGUGGUCCUCAUUAUCUUCUUUCUCACUAUGGCUGCUAAAUGCACAUCAGAAUCGUGCUAUGAGACCAUCUUAAGAAUAGCUUCCUCAAGUCUCAGUCAAGAAAUUGGUACGGAAACCGUAAAUUGAUCGAGCUAGAGCUCUCGUAGUAGCUACUGCUGCUUUGUUGUGAUGCUACAUAUAUUCAAAUUCCCAAUGACUAAUAGGUCAAAGGAAAGCAUAGGAGAAAAUCAACUGUGUUUCCUUCUGUUUGAAUUUUGUUGCAAGAGAGGAAACUUGUUAGUAGAAGUGGUUUUUGUUCUAAAAGCCUGUGUAGAGGUCUUAAUUCGAUCGGUUGCUUUUUUGUUGUAGCAGAAUUCUCACCGAGGUGGUGUUCGCUUAUUUCAUUGUUGUUAAUCAGAAAUACUCUUUUGUAGUUUCAAAAAAAAAAAGAAAAAAGGAAGAA